rnacentral:piRNA from 1 species
UAAUUGGUGUAGCAUGGUAUAGUGAAGAA